rnacentral:rRNA from 1 species
UAAGUUUGAUGGCGACCGGCGCACGGGUGAGUAACACGUAUCCAACCUGCCGAUGACUCGGGGAUAGCCUUUCGAAAGAAAGAUUAAUACCCGAUGGCAUAGUUCUUCCGCAUGGUAGAAACUAUUAAAGAAUUUCGGUCAUCGAUGGGGAUGCGUUCCAUUAGGUUGUUGGCGGGGUAACGGCCCACCAAGCCUUCGAUGGAUAGGGGUUCUGAGAGGAAGGUCCCCCACAUUGGAACUGAGACACGGUCCAAACUCCUACGGGAGGCAGCAUG